rnacentral:tRNA from 1 species
GGGCGUGUAGCUCAGUUGGUAGAGCGUUCGCUUAGCAUCUCUCCGAACCAGAAGCUUCCUUACCCUAACAAACAGCGGUUUCUGGUUAAAAGGCGUAUGCGAGAGGUCCUGGGUUCGAUUCCCAGCCCGUCCA